CACUGGGGAGGAGCCAGCAGGGGGAGCGGGGUCACCAGGAGAGAACCCAGCUCUGGUGAGGAAGUGGACAGAAGGACCAGUCGGAGACUGAGAACACAGGCCACUGUGCCUGCUCAUUGGUGGCCCACGGAGUGACAUCAUAAAGUGGGGAAAUCCUUACAGACCCAGCAUUUCGAUCUAACCUGCCUCUGCCAGCACAGUGCAUGAUCUCAUGUUCUCUUUCUCUGGCAUUCGCUCAACACAAAGCCAUCCUUUGUCAGUGUCCCUUUUUCUGCUCUGGAAGGAGGAGGAGACCCCACACUUGUGAACAAGUCCAGACGCGACUGAGAGCGACGUCAGGGUCACUAAGGGAUCACAGAACUCGACUCACCAAAACUAGUAGAUUUGGGACACACUCUUGCUGGGUUUGCAAGGAUAUUCAUCACCUUCAACAUACCAGAGUCAGUGAAUACCUGAUACAACACAUUAACCGAACAAAGGACUAAUUAAGAGGUGCAGAAAAAGCAUCUGACAAGACUCAACAACCUCUCAUGAUAAAACCUCUCGACAAACUAGGUUUAGAAGGAUGUGCCUAAACGUAAUAAAGAUUAAAUAUGAGCCCACAGCUAACAUCAUUGUCAAAGGUGAAUAAAUGAAAGAUUCCCUCUAAGAUCAGGAACAGGGCAAGGAUGGCCACUCUUGCCACCUCUGGUCAUCACAGCACCGGAAGCCCCAGUCAGAGCCAUUAGGCAAAAAAGAGAAAGAAAAGGCAUACGAAUCAGAAAUGAAGAAGUAAAAUGAUCCCUGUUUACAGCAGACAUGAUCUAACAUAGAGAAAAAUUUUAAAGACUCCAUUUUAAAAAGUGUUAGAAUAGGGGCCCCUGGGUGGCUCAGUCAGUUAAGUGUCCGACGUCGGCUCAGAUCACGAUCUCAUGGUUUGUGGGUUUGAGCCCCACAUCAGGCUCUGGGCUGACAGCUCGGAGCCUGGAGCCUGCUUCGGAUUCUGUGUCUCCCUCCCUCCCUCUCUCUGCCCCACCCCCCCCCCCACCUGUGCUCUCUCUCUCAAAAAUGAAUAAACAUUAAAAAAACUUUAAACUGUUAGAACAGAUGAAUUCAAUAAAAUUACAGGAUAUGAUAUCAGCCCACAAAACUCAUGUGUGCUACUAGACACAAAUAACAAACUCUACAAAAAGGAAAUUAGGUAAACAAUGCAGCUUAUUACAAAAAAGAAUACUCAGGAAAAAACUUAACUGAGGACAUAAAACACCUGUACACUGAAAACUACAAAACAAAGAUGAAACAAAGAACUUACAAACAGACUUCCUCUUGGGUGGAAACCUUAAUAUUGUUCCAAUGGCCACACUUCCUAAGAGAUCUACAGACUCGAUGUAAUCCCUAUCAAAAUCCCAAAGGCAUUUUUCACAGAAACUGAAAAAACAAUUCUAUAAUUCAUACAGAAGCACAAAGGACCCUAAAGAGUCAGACCGAUCUUGAGAAGAACAAAGCCAGAGGCAUCACACUUCCUGGUUUCAAAAAUACUACAGAGAUACAGUCAUCAAGAGUACAGUAAUGGCAUAAAAAGACAUAUAGACCAAAGAACAGAGUGGAGAAUCCAGGAAUAAAGCCAUGCAUCUACGGUCCGCCAAUCUUCAACAAGAAUGCAAGAUGGAGAAAGGAUAGUCUCUUCGACAAAUGGUGAUGGAAAACUGAACAUUCACACGCAAAAGAAUGAAACUGGACCCUUAUCUUACACCACAUAUGAAAAACAAACAACAUACAGUAAUAACUUAUAUGUAAGGCCUGAGAUUUUAAAACUGCUACAAUAAAAACACGGGGGAAAGCUUCAUGACAUUGGUUUUGGCAAGGAUUUCAUCGAUAAGGCACCAAAGGCUCAGGCAACAAAAGCCAAAGCUGACAAGUGGGACUACAUCAACUUAAAAUGCCCUGCACAGCAAAGGAAACAACCAACACAGCAAAAAGACAACCUGCAGAAUGGGAGAAAAUAUUUGCAAACCAUGUAUCUGAUAAGGGGUAAUUCUCUAAAUACGUAAGGAACUGCUACAGCUCAAUAGCAAUAAAUAAAACAAAAAACUAGUAGUCCAAUUAAAAAAUGGGCUAAAGACUUGAAAAGACAUUUCUCCAAAGAAGAUAUAUAAAUGGCCCACAAGUAUAUGAAAAGAUGCUCAAUGGCAUUAAUCAUCAGGGGAAUGCAAAUCGAAACCACACACACACACACACACACACACACGCACAAUGAGAUGCUACCUCAUACCUGUGAGGAUGGCUAUCAUCAAAAAAACAAGACAAAAAAAAAGGACAACGGUGCUGGUGAGGAUGUGGGGAAAACAGAACACCCCCACCCUGUUGGUAGGAAGGAAAUGAUGCAGCUGCUAUGAAAACAGGAAGGCGUCUUCUCAAAAUAUUAGAAGCAGAACUAUCAUGCGGUAGCCACCCGACUUCUGGGAUUUCUCCGAAAGAGACAAAAUCAGGGUCUGGAAGAGAGAUUAGCACUCCCGUGGCCACUGCAACAAUGAUCAGAGUAGCCCAGGUGUGAACACCACCUAGACUUCCAAGCAGAUAAAGAAAACCUGGUCUCUGCAGACAACGCGAGGUCAUCCAGCCCUAAAACGGUGGCAUUGCGCACUAUUCCACCACACGGAUGAACCCUGAGGAUAGCAUUCCAAGUGAAAUAAGCCACUUCAGGACAAAUACUGCAUGAUUCCGCGAUUUGAGGAAUAUAGUCUAGUCAAAUUCACAGAAUCAGAGUAGAACGGGGGUUGCCGGGGGCCGGGGGCCAUACGGAGUUACCACAGACACGGUUCCAGUCAAGGAAGAUAUCAAGCUCCGGAAAUGUGCUGCGCAACACGGACCUCCGGCCAACGACCAUCUAUUGUACGUUUAAGAGGGUAGAGUUCACGUUAAGUGUUCUUUCCACAAUAAAAAAAGAGAAAUGAAUCAGUGUAGUGACGGAUGAGAGAAAAGCGAGUUCGUACAGACACAGGAGAAACUACAGGAGGGUGUGGGGCCAGCAAAGAAUGAAACAGGCCGAACACCUGUGAUUCUCAACUCACUUCCCCUCGUGCGGAGUCCACAGAAACCCCCUUCGGAGGUGAGGCCAGAAGUCCUAAGUGACGUGAAGGUUACUCCCUCAGAACUCAAGAAUUGGUCUGUGACUGCUGCUACCGGGCCAAGAGGUCUGCAGAAUUUAGGACGUAUUCAGACCAUGUGAAUAUUUACCUAAAAUAUGUGAAGGCUGAAGAUGCCCCCGAGAUACUCAAAUGAGACCAAUCACCUCUCAGCAGUGUAUUGACGCCGCGAGUACAAUUCGCGAUUUGCAGGCUGGCUCCGUGUUGUUCUCUGCAGAAACGCGUACUUCCCAAGUGAGAGACUUCAAACCUGAAGGGAUCUAUCCGUUUAAACUCUGUAGAACAUAACAGCGAUGAUUCCGAGAGCUCUCUCUCAGCUCCCGUAGUUUUCAAACCCGGACACACGUGCCCCCCUGGGAACAUGUGGACACACUGUAAAGGAACCAGCUUGUGACCGUGGAUUCCCACGAGACUCGUGACCGAUCUGCCCGCAACCUGCUGCUUUCCCACCUUCCCUUUCGUCACAGCCCUCUCCACCCGGCUGUCCCAAAUCACACCCUUCACGCUGACCCAAGAGGCACAGCCUCCUCAAGACGUCUCAUGAGAGGACCCUGAAAUAACGGCGUCAGUGAGCAAGUGAGCCUUCCAUGACUUGUAACAAAAUGGUUUCUACCCUAUUUGCUUUGCACAGAAGUGAGGAGGGUCUAACCCAGCUGUCAGAAUCAGAGUAACAAUUUUAUGACGCAUAAUGUGAUGUGGGCAUGUAACACAGGUGUCAGAAAAAUUAGAACAGCAUUCCCACUUCAAAAUCCUUGAAUUCCUACCUACUGAUUCACGUAAACUGAUAUAGUCUCUCAUCUACAGUAAUGAAAAUAGACAUAAAAUUGAUACUGAACUUGUCCCAUUCUUGCAAUGAGGAAUAUUCAUCCACAGAUACAUGCAUUAAUUAGAAUAUCUUAGCCACAUCCAUCUCAUUAAGAGUGAAUUUGCAACUCAAUUUUACUUUAUUAACCUAUAAGUUAAUAAUCAAAUAUAUCCACAAUGACUUGAUUUUACACUAAUAAAAAUUAUAACUUAAUGCUGAGAGCAAAUGAACUCUUAAAGUUAUUAUGGUCAAUGGAACUUUUUAAAAAAAUUAAGUUCACUGUUUAUACUAUUUUAUUGCAGAGAAGACAGGGUAGACCAAAAACAGCCAUGUUUCAGUAGAAUUUAUUUUUGUGGGGUGGCGAAUGAAAAUACAAGUUCAGGCACAAAAGACGAGGAUGUAAAAUUUCAGAUGUUAAAGCAAAUUAUUUUUUUUAAUGGAUGAUAGUUGGGGCGCCUGGGUGGCUCUCGGUUGGUCAGGCAUCUGACUCUUGACUCCUCUCAGGUCACGAUCUCAUGGUUCAUGGGAUCGGCCCAAGUCGCCUCUACACUGAGAGCGUGGAGCCUACUUGGGAUUCUCUCUCCCCCUCCCCCGCUGGUGCUAUCAAAAUAUAUAAACUUAAAUAAAUAAAUGGAUGAUAGUUCAUUUAAAAUAAUCAUCACUAUGGUAUUUAGAUUCCACUGGAUAAAUUUAGGAGAGUGUUAGGGGAGCCUGGGUGGCUCAGUCGGUUAAGUGUCUGACUUCGGCUCAGGUCAUGAUCUCACAGCUUGUGAGUUCAAGCCCCGCAUCGGGCUCUGUGCUGACAGCUCGGAGCCUGGAGCCUGCUUCUGCUUCUGUGUCUCCCUCUCUCUCUGCCCUCCCCCACUUGUGCUCUGUCUCUCUCUCUCUC